ensembl:lincRNA
UGGCAUAGAUUGUUAAUUUAGGGGUAAAGAGUGGUGAUGGGAGGCUGGUUAUGAGUUGCGGUGCAGAAGGUUUGGUGAUGGUGAUGAUGGGAUCAGUUGUCACAGUGGCUGUGGUCGUGAUACUCAAAGACAUAAGGAAGGUGCUGGCAGUGAUGCAGAAUCGUGAUAACAGUGGCGAUUGUGGCAGUAGAAGAAAGGUGAUGGUGAUGCAGGCGGUGGCAGUGGUGAUGCAGCAGGUGAUGAUGAGAGGAGAGAGUUUGUGAUGACAACAGUGACAGUGGUGACGCUGAUGGUGCUGAAGAUUGGGAUGAUGUCCAGAUCCAUCUCGCACAGGCCCAUCCUUCAGAACUGGAAGUGCAGACAGCCGCAGACAUCACUUGUCUCCGUCCUCAGGUCAUCAGAUGUCAGAGCACUGUGGCUUUGGGAGACAGCCUGGAACAUUAUCCAGGGCGUGCCCCAGGUUUCCCGGUUCUGAGAUGAGAGAAAUGUGGAAUAGACCUAAACCUAAUCCACAGCUGGAAACUGCAGCCUGGAGCCCCAUCGUGCCAAGUUGCAGCUGGUCCACAGACCCAUGAGCACAGAGUAGGUGCUGGUUGUUAGCCAUUGUGAUUUUG